rnacentral:rRNA from 1 species
UGCUAGGAGGCGUCGAGCGGCGGACGGGUGAGUAACGCGUGAGAAUCUGCCCAUUUGUGGGGGAUAACUCGGGGAAACUCGAGCUAAUACCGCAUAAUCCCUACGGGGGAAAGCAGGGGACCUUCGGGCCUUGUGCAGAUGGAUGAGCUCGCGUCGGAUUAGCUUGUUGGUGAGGUAAAGGCUCACCAAGGCGACGAUCCGUAGCUGGUCUGAGAGGAUGAUCAGCCACACCGGGACUGAGACACGGCCCGGACUCCUACGGGAGGCAGCAGUGGGGAAUCUUGGACAAUGGGGGCAACCCUGAUCCAGCCAUGCCGCGUGUGUGAAGAAGGCCUUCGGGUUGUAAAGCACUUUCAGUAGGGAGGAAGGCUUACCGCUAAUAACGGUGAGUACUUGACGUUACCUACAGAAGAAGCACCGG